rnacentral:rRNA from 1 species
AGUGAACGCUGGCGGUAGGCCUAACACAUGCAAGUCGAACGGCAGCACAGGAGAGCUUGCUCUCUGGGUGGCGAGUGGCGGACGGGUGAGGAAUACAUCGGAAUCUACUUUUUCGUGGGGGAUAACGUAGGGAAACUUACGCUAAUACCGCAUACGACCUACGGGUGAAAGCAGGGGACCUUCGGGCCUUGCGCGAUUGAAUGAGCCGAUGUCGGAUUAGCUAGUUGGCGGGGUAAAGGCCCACCAAGGCGACGAUCCGUAGCUGGUCUGAGAGGAUGAUCAGCCACACUGGAACUGAGACACGGUCCAGACUCCUACGGAAGGCAGAAGUGGGGAAUAUUGGACAAUGGGCGCAAGCCUGAUCCAGCCAUACCGCGUGGGUGAAGAAGGCCUUCGGGUUGUAAAGCCCUUUUGUUGGGAAAGAAAUCCAGCUGGCUAAUACCCGGUUGGGAUGACGGUACCCAAAGAAUAAGCACCGGCUAACUUCGUGCCAGCAGCCGCCGUAA